UACGUAGGGGGCGAGCGUUGUCCAGAUUUAUUGGGCGUAAAGAGCUCGUAGGCGGCUUGGCAAGUCGGGUGUGAAACCUCCAGCUCAACCUGGAGACGCCACUCGAUACUGCCAUGGCUAGAGUCCGGUAGGGGACCACGGAAUUCCUGGUGUAGCGGUGAAAUGCGCAGAUAUCAGGAGGAACACCGGUGGCGAAGGCGGUGGUCUGGGCCGGCA
rnacentral:rRNA from 1 species